GCCAGCAGCUAGCCCUCUGCAACUCUCACAUGGUUGCCCACUGAAGCUAAGUAGGGAUGGACGCAGUCAGUUCCUGGAUGAAAGAUCACAUGGGAAAGCUAGGUUGCAGCCGGAA
rnacentral:rRNA from 1 species